AUUCCAAUAUACCUUUUGUCGAGGUUGUUUAUCAGAAGAUCAACUAAGUGGAGAAGAAGAGAUACCUGCCUCGUCAUCAACUGUUAUAAAAAUACCGUUUCUUAAACAACUCUCUUAUCUAUAUCUUUCGUUCAGUUUUUCUGUUGAAGACCUGACAAAUAUCAACAGGUCUUCACUUUCAUUCUGCGAAGUAGAAAUGUAUGGAUGCCCUAGGAAUCAUUACGGUAGCCCUUGCAGACCGUGUUUUUCAAAUUGUGACGGAUGUAACGCUAUUGACGGAUCUUGUAUUUGCCAAGCUGGUUAUACCGGUGAAAACUGUACAGAUGUAUGUUUGAACAACACCUAUGGUGCUAACUGUGUGCACAGCUGUGGACAUUGUUACAAUGAUACUUGCCAUCACGUGACCGGGCAUUGUUUACUCGGUUGUAAUGAUGGUUGGACAUCAAGCAAGUGCAAUCAAG